rnacentral:rRNA from 1 species
GGAACUAGAUGUGGGGACCAUUCCACGGUCUCCGUGUCGCAGCUAACGCAUUAAGUUCCCCGCCUGGGGAGUACGGCCGCAAGGCUAAAACUCAAAGGAAUUGACGGGGGCCCGCACAAGCGGCGGAGCAUGCGGAUUAAUUCGAUGCAACGCGAAGAACCUUACCAAGGCUUGACAUAUACCGGAAACGUCUGGAAACAGUCGCCCCGCAAGGUCGGUAUACAGGUGGUGCAUGGUUGUCGUCAGCUCGUGUCGUGAGAUGUUGGGUUAAGUCCCGCAACGAGCGCAACCCUCGUUCUAUGUUGCCAGCACGUAAUGGUGGGAACUCAUGGAAGACUGCCGGGGUCAACUCGGAGGAAGGUGGGGAUGACGUCAAAUCAUCAUGCCCCUUAUGUCUUGGGCUUCACGCAUGCUACAAUGGCCGGUACAAAGGGCUGCAAUACCGUAAGGUGGAGCGAAUCCCAAAAAGCCGGUCUCAGUUCGGAUUGAGGUCUGCAACUCGACCUCAUGAAGUCGGAGUCGCUAGUAAUCGCAGAUCAGCAACGCUGCGGUGAAUACGUUCCCGGGCCUUGUACACACCGCCCGUCAAGUCAUGAAAGUCGGUAACACCCGAAGCCAGUGGCCUAACCCUUGUGGAUGGAGCUGUCUAAGGUGGGA